rnacentral:RNase_P_RNA from 1 species
AAAACAGAUCAGAUCAUCGCGCGGCUAGCCUCUUGUAGGCUGGAGCGAGGAAAGUCCGGACACUGGGCUUCUGCUUCGGUAGAAGCCAGGGUAGCGGGUAACUCCCGUCUCGGGUGACCGAUGAGGUGCGAGCAGAGACGCCUGAUUCGAAAGACGUCAGGCAGCCCGCAAGGGCUGAGUCUCCAUAGUAAUAUGGAGGGUGAAACGGCUAAAUCCUUACCUCUGUGCAAGGUCGUGCCAUGUCUUCUUGGAGCUCAAGAAGGUAUAGGAGAACUGCAAAGAUCUGCGCGGUAACACGCAGACAAGAUAAAUGAUGAUCGCUCUCUGUAAGGAGAGAACAGAAUCCGGCUUAUCGAUCUGUUUUGGAA